rnacentral:lncRNA from 1 species
UUUUUUUUUCAGUAGAGGCAGGGUUUCACCAUGUUGACAGGCUGGUCUCGAACUCCUGACCUCAGGUGAUCCACCCUUUUUGACCUCCCAAAGUGCUGUGAUUAUAGGCAUGAGCCACCGUGCCUGGCCUAGAAUAGUUUUCUUACUCCCCCAAAACUGCUUUAUGCUGCCUUUUUGUAGUCAAACUAUCCACCUGCCCUUAACCCCAGCUCCCCAGCAUUAGAAACCACUGAACCUCUGAUCUGUUCUUCACCUUAAAUCUUUCCCUUUUCCAGGGUGUAGCGCAUGUGGAAUUAUAGAGUAUGUCACCUUUCAAGUCUGGCUUCUUUCAUCUAGUGUAAUGCAUUUGAGAUUUAUCUAUGUUGUCGGAUGUAUCAGUAAGUUUGUGUCUUAGCAGUGCUGAGAAGUAUUCCUUUGCAUGGAUGUACCCAAAUCUGUUUAUCCAUUCAUCAGUUAGAGAACAACUGGGUUGUUUCCAGUUUGGGGUGAUUACAAAUAAAGCCACUAUGUACAUGCACCUCUAGGUUUUGGGUGAACGUAAGUUUUCAUUUCUCUUAAGUUUCAAUACCUAGGAGAAUGAUUGCUAGGUCAAUGGAAAGUGCUAAACUGUUUUCCAAAGUGAGUGUAGCAUUUUGUAUCCCCACUAGCAAUGAAAUGAGAGCUCCGCUUGCUCUGUAAGAGGCAUUAGUGAAUAUGAAAGUGCUUUGUAAAGAGUAAGGGUGUCUCGCAGCGUGCCCAGGCGGGAAGAUUCAGAGGGGGCAUUUCUAAACUCUAAACUCCUGUGGGCUCCUAGCCCAUCCUUCUGAAUGGGGACAGAAUACUUCCAUUUCCAGGUUACUUGCUUCUCCAAAAGGGAGACAGGGAAGUAGCCUUCUCUUUUUGCAAAUGAGGGCACAGCACUGCCUCUUGUGGUUGAGCCAGUCAUUAUUCAGUAGGAACAGCAGUGAGAUUCUCCAGCCUUCUAUUUUAUUCCUGGGGUCACAGAGUAAAAUGCAGCGUGAUCACUUGGAGCAUUCUUAUGCUUUGUGACAAGAACGAAGCCAGUGGAAACAGCCAUGUGUCCAAUCAGAAUGUCAGAGCUGGCAGGGACCUUAGCAAUUGUCACUUUAGAGAUGAUAACCUAUUACAUCCCCAGGUCCCCAGAAUCCCAGCCCAGGACUCACUCCUUCAGCCUUCCUGGAUUGCCCUGGGUGGAACAAGAUCAGCUCAUUUAGCACGUAGCCUUCCAGAACACAAGGCAGUGUCCCACCAAGUUGGGAUGGGACCAGCUUCUCUAUCCACAGUAGCUAUGCACACAGAGACAGAAAUGAAGCCAUACUGCCGGGUGCACCAUGGCCAGAGAUCCUCCUUCCUGGUAUAUACUCCCGGAGCCUUUGCUUCUUUCAUUUCAGUACCCAUUUCUGAGGCACCUUCACAUUUCAAACGUCCUGAGAAUAUGUUUAAUUAGAACUUGGCCAUACAGCCUUUUAAAACAAAACAGAAGGGACCAGCUAAUUAUAUCGCUCAGCAUUCUGUGGCAAACAUAUAUUUUUUAAUAAAACACUUUCCUAACCAGAGUAAUCCCUGGAGAUGCAAAUCCUCAUUUAUAAGAAGUUUCCCAAAGGGAGUUAAAGAGAAGAUGCCUUAUAAAGAAAAGAGACAAAGAGAGUGAGGAAGUGUUUUCAAAGAGCUUUUAAAAGAUACACUCAUUCUGAGGUUGAAUUACAGAUAUUUUAAGGGUACCAAAUUUUAUUUCAGAUGUAAUCCUUUCCUGUGUUUUUGAUCAUGUAUUUCCGUUUUUUCCCUUUUUGAUCAUUGCCACAAAUGCCCAUAUUUCUCUUUCUGGUGUCUUUCAUAAGUGCAAUAUUUAAAUAAACAAGGGAUUUUCCCAAAAUGCACCUCAUCUCCUACUCUUUGUCAUUUCGUUGUCUUGCUCUGUAAAUAACCGUGUGUCUCACAGCAGAGCUUACACAGAAUGGAUGUGGGGCAGUCUGUGGUCCUGGGGAGGGCCUUCCCUGUAAUCUCUGCAGCCCAGGACAGGGAGAGGGAAGAUUUAGAUCCUGCUGCGGCAUGUCUUCAGGAGUGGAGGGGUGUUCCCUUGGCAAAGGACUCCAUGACAGAUGCAGGCCAUGGGCGACGCUCCUGCAGAAGC